UAUAUAUAUAUAUAUAUAUUUUGUCCUGGAGAAAGAUAUCAUAGAAGGUACAGAAAUCUUACAAAUGGAAAACUUGUCACUUCCAGUCAUGACACUCAGCACAAUAAACAGUAGAUGCCGCCUUCAGCCAACUUCCCUGAUUUCCCAAAUUAUGCCACUACUUAACCCUGAUUGACAUUGAUAUAUUAGAAUUUAUCAUGUCAGCUGAACGAUGAAUAAUGACAAGAAACAAUGGCUUUCUUUCCUUCCAGCUUUCUUUUUGUUAAAAAAAAAAAGAGAAACAGGAUUUCGUAUCAUGUCGCAUUACUAUUUUCUUUCUUAACCCACUGAGUGACUUGUUUUCUUGAACUUUGAGCAACUUGUUUUCUUGAAUUGUGCCCCUGGUGUUUCUUUGUGCUGGAGUUCCUUGCUCUACUGGUAUUAGGUUUGUUUGUGGAACCACUAGAAUUUGUUCUGGAGUUGGCUGCCAGAUCUUUGUCUUGUUGCUCUUUUGCCUCCUCGGUGGAUGCUGUUGAGGGUAAUGCAGCAGGUUGUGGAAGAUAAAUACCUGGCCGCAACACUUCAUGCUUUUUUAUUUCAAUUAGACCACCCUUCUCUUGCUGGAGUUUCAAGAUUGCAUCAAAUUUUGCUCUUCUUAAUUUCUCCGAGACUGAGGAAAGAAUCUUGUCCUCAUUGUUGACUUCAGAUCUGCUGGAGGUCACAGCAUGCUGAGUCUUCACAAAGUCAAGCACAUGCUCAAUGUCCUUUGCAAGAAAAGAUUUGCGACAAACUGGGCACUUCCUCCUAGAUUCUUCAUCCUGAUCCCUGAUACUUCCAGAAGAUGAAGCAGAACCAGAAGCUGUAGGGGCAUCAGAUUCUUUUAGUAGUUCAAGCCAAUUCCACCAUCUGAUGAUGCACUCACAAUGAAAGCAAUGAAAACAAGACAUUAGUUUCAUAAAUGGCUCAGAGCUCCCUGAAUCUUCCGCAACUAACGGAUACAAGCACAACGGACACUCUCCAUCAGGGUGAUUCAUACUCGAAAGCCGCUCCACUGCUUCCUAAUGAUACAUUCAGAGCAUUAAAUUUUUGGAAAUUAAAUCCACUUCUGAAAUUCUAAAAUUAUUUGGACCGUUUAGCAACACUGCCUUUGUUGUCG
rnacentral:misc_RNA from 1 species